ensembl:lncRNA
UUUUACCUGAAUCUGGUCGAGGGCCCUCUCUGUUUGAGCGCAGUGCAGGGGCCCCAGGGCCUGAUGGGGACAAGCUGAGACUGGACACUUUUCCUUUCCUCGGCUCAGGGGCUCCUUGUUACGCCAAACCUCCAUCCCUUUUGGGUCCUUACGCACGGAACCCCUCUUUUGACUACCCCUGGGGCUUCAACCCCUACCUCCCAGGGGCCUUUUCUCUGAACAACUGUCCCAAAUUGGCCCCAGGCUCCCUCUACUCUUCACAUUUCUAUCCCAACCCACUCCAAUCCAGCCUGUCUCAGCUGUCACACCCCUUCUCUUCGCUCUUAUCCCCCGGAGACACGACCACGACCGGCACAGGGAAACAGAGACACUUAAACUUGCUAACAGUUAAUUUGUUCUGUUGUGUGAUUUUUGAUGUCUUGCAGGUUCUCUCUUUCUCUUUUUCUGUCUAUGCAUUCCUGCAUUUGUGAAAUAAUGCUGUAUAUUCCCAUUUCAUUUUUUUUCUUUUCUGGAGUCCUCCGAAGCCAUUCUUUGCUCAUUCAGUUCCAAUAAUAGAACUUUCAAUUUCUGCUUUCUUCAAUUUCUGAUUCGCACAGUGAGACUCUUGAUGCAGUUUUUGUCAUUCUCAGAGUAAAAGUGCAGCACAAAAAAAUUCAAAAUUCGAAUUUUCAUUCUCUCAUUUCUGGUAGGAAGCAGUAACAAUGAGAAAUUUUAUAGCCAGUACAGCACAGUAACGGAAUAUGCAUAUCUUUUAUCACACACAUUUAGAUUGCACUGCAUUCUGGCCCUGCUGAAACGGGCAGUAAAUUUGUUCUGUUUGGUGUAUUUCAGACUUUUCCAUAAGUUAAUGCUAAGCUCUGCAAUACAGUGUUCAGCUGAAGAGUGUAACACAAGCAAAAUGCAAUAAUGGCAACACUCAUAGUAAUUUUAAGGCGAUACAUUUGUGUUGCAAUAAAGCACUUUUGUUUUUUUGUGCUGACUCCAAGGGAUUCAGACAUAUAUAUGGUCAAACAUUGCCAUCUUGUGGUUAUAUUUAUCUAAGCCUUUCAUAGUUUCUGAAGGGAAAUUUAUUUAUUUAUGUUCACUUUCAAUUUUCAUGUCCAGUCCAUGUCUUUUAAAAUUUUUUCAAAACAUUUAUGACCCUGAGAAUGAGUGACAGAAUCAAUACUACUCAUGCCAGUGAAUAUUUAAAGUUUGUAUCUAUUUCAUUGUAUAUAUUUUAUUGUUGUGUACAUUGUUUAAUUACUAUUACUAUAUGGGAUAGUUGUAUUGAUGUCAUUUUACUCUGUAACUAACUGAAGAGUGAUAUAUGAGACAGAAAAAUGGUUAAGUAUAUAUGUGUAGUGACCCAAAGUUGACAGAGAAAGAGCACUUGUUUUUCACAUACUCAUAAGAAUGCAGUUUAGACAGGGAAGUGUGCAAAAAACUAAAAUCUGCUCUUUCUAAUUGUGCCCUGUGGAAACUUUCCCCAGAUACCUCAAAGUAGAUGAUCCUGAUGGACUGAGUUAUGCCACUAGUCUCAAAUUUCAAUAAUUCAUUCACCCAGUGAUGAGGUACUGUAAUUAAUCAAGUGUGAAUAAUAUUAGUUGCAGCAUCUGCUAAUUUCUUUAACCAAUGUUCAUUCUAAUGUUUAUUACAUUUGAUAUAUGAACAUCCGAUUUGAAUAUAAAAACAAUACAUAGGAGCAGAAUGACACACUCUGAUUAGAUUACCUUCAAAUACAAUUCAGACAAGUUGGGGAGGGGGGGGGUAAAGAUAACAUUUUAUACAAAAGCAAAAUGCAAGUAAGAUUUUAUCAAACUAUGGCCACAAUAUUUCCAGAUAUUCUUCUGAUUCUUUGGUAAGUUAUCUCAUUCUAGAUAAGAACUUGAAAGAAGUUGUUUCAUGACAGUUGGUGCCAUUGACUUGCCCGUACUAGAGGAGAUUUCAGCUGUACAUAGG